AAUCCAGGUGGAGAGGAAGCUGCUGUAGCUGUUCCCAGCAAGGGAGCCCUCCGGCCACCUUCAGUGGCAGCCAUGAGGAGUUGCCCCUCUGUAUCCGUUUGAGAAGAUGAGAAGAAACCUCAGCGUGAGACGCACAGGCACAAGCGCGACACGCGCCCCGGCCGGCCUGCCCGCCACCAGCCCUGGGCACAGCGAGCUGGGAGCCGCCUCCACCCCUCCUCCUGGUUAAUUACGGCGCCUGCUGGCAGGCCUGCUGAGGGGCAGCUCCCACUAAUGGUGCGUUAUUCCAGACCUGGGGGCUUCUCUUCACCCAUGAGAGGGACCAGGAGAAGCUUUGAGGAGUCAUUUAAGACAUUUCUGCUGGAGAAUAAUUAUUUUCCCUCGGGCUUGGCCUAGCAAACAGGGUCAUCACCUUUCAUGUAGUGGAGGGAAGCUGCUCAGGGAAGGCAGCUGCUGCUGGGGACAGGGGGCAGGCACGUGGCGCUGCUUGAGAACGUGGGCCGGCCCUCCCAUCUCGCCUCAAAUUAGUCACUCCUGCCCUAGCAGGACCAGGAGGUCCUGAGUCCCAGCCCCAGUGGCCCUGCAGGUCUUAGUGAAUGUCUCCAAACGUGUGGGAGAGGGCUCCAGUCUGGUUCCCAGCAGCCACAGAAACCCUGUGGCCCACAGACCUCUGCCCACCACCAGGGUCCCCACCUCAGGCUCCUGGAAGCCUGGUGACCACGGAGGCCCAGACACCACACAGCUCAGGUGAGAUGAACAGCCCUGAAGCCAUUUGCCUCUGAGAGUAUCUGAAACGUGCCAACGUUACCAUCUCUGGUUUCUUUGUCAAGUGGACGUCAUUGUUCUACCUUCAAACGGUUCAGGGGCACUGGAUGAGAUAAAGUGGGUGAAGGGCCUGGUGGUGCUGGCACGGGUGUUCUCUGGCUGGGUGCUCACCUGCCGCUCUGCCCAGCCUCGCCAAUGCUUUGGUCCAGGGCAGACCCAGCUUAACCGUAGCUGUGAGGACAGCAGGAAUGUGUUCUAGUGGAUUCUGUCCACAAGGACAGUCAUCAAACUGUGACGAGAUGCUACCACAGUGGAGACUGCUUCCAACAAGGUCCCAGGCCCUAUGUCAGGGAGCAGGCUCCACACGUGAGUGGCAAGGUCCUGCUACUGUAGAAACCAGGUGGCUGGGAGUUUCUUCCUCCAGCUCCCCCGGGUUGCGCUGAAUUAGAUCAGGAUAGCUCCUGGCCUCAUUGUGUCCUCCCUCUGGACAAAGCCUGUCCACAGACCUGGGUAACUCAGCCCAGGAGCUGUCCCUUUUGUCUGAUUGAGUUGUCAACAUUGAAAGUCGAGGUAUGUCACAGGAAAGUCCAGCUAGACACUAUGAGGAGAUGCAAGGGCAGAGGGUGGGAGACUACGUCACCCUUAAGAAGCUUCCAGAGAAAGGACACAAGAGACCACCUCAGCCUUGUGGAGCCUAAGAAGACUUGGUGGGAUGUGGUACCCUGCAGCGGACCUUGGGACAGAAAAAGAACUUUGGGUAAAACCUAAGGAAAUCAGAGCAAACUAUAGACUUAAUGUACAGCACCAAUACCGGCUUAUUAAUGGUAACGAAUGUUCCAUAUCAAGGUGGGAUGUUGAAACGGGGGAAGCUGGGUGUGAAGUGCACACGGAAACUGUGCCAUCAUCUCAAUCUGUCUGUAAAUCUUAAACUGUUGGAGCAAAUUAAAGUCCACUUAAAAAAAUAAAGACAUGCAUAGGCAAA